rnacentral:rRNA from 1 species
UGGGGAAUUUUGGACAAUGGGCGAAAGCCUGAUCCAGCCAUGCCGCGUGAGUGAAGAAGGCCUUCGGGUUGUAAAGCUCUUUUAGUCGGAAAGAAAGAGUUGCAAUGAAUAAUUGUGAUUUAUGACGGUACCGACAGAAAAAGCACCGGCUAACUACGUGCCAGCAGCCGCGGUAAUACGUAGGGUGCGAGCGUUAAUCGGAAUUACUGGGCGUAAAGGGUGCGCAGGCGGUCUUGCAAGUCAGAUGUGAAAGCCCCGGGCUUAACCUGGGAAUUGCGUUUGAAACUACAAGACUAGAGUGCAGCAGAGGGGAGUGGAAUUCCAUGUGUAGCAGUGAAAUGCGUAGAGAUGUGGAAGAACACCGAUGGCGAAGGCAGCUCCCUGGGUUGACACUGACGCUCAUGCACGAAAGCGUGGGGAUCAAACA